AUUGAACGCUGGCGGCAGGCCUAACACAUGCAAGUCGAACGGUAACAGGAAACAGCUUGCUGUUUCGCUGACGAGUGGCGGACGGGUGAGUAAUGUCUGGGAAACUGCCUGAUGGAGGGGGAUAACUACUGGAAACGGUAGCUAAUACCGCAUAACGUCGCAAGACCAAAGUGGGGGACCUUCGGGCCUCUUGCCAUCGGAUGUGCCCAGAUGGGAUUAGCUAGUAGGUGGGGUAACGGCUCACCUAGGCGACGAUCCCUAGCUGGUCUGGGAGGAUGACCAGCCACACUGGAACGGAGACACGGUCCAGACUCCUACGGGAGGCAGCAGUGGGGAAUAUUGCACAAUGGGCGCAAGCCUGAUGCAGCCAUGCCGCGUGUAUGAAGAAGGCCUUCGGGUUGUAAAGUACUUUCAGCGGGGAGGAAGGGAGUAAAGUCAAUACCUUUGCUCAUUGACGUUACCCGCAGAAGAAGCACCGGCUAACUCCGUGCCAGCCGCCGCAGUAA
rnacentral:rRNA from 1 species